rnacentral:lncRNA from 1 species
UACCACGUACCAGACAAUACAGAAAAUUCUUGAUUUGACUCGGAAAAUAUUAUUAUUAUUACAUUAUAAUUCUCAGAUUGCUUGUUUCGAACACUUUCUUAAUUUGUUCAACGGGACAAAUUCAAUUUGUCGAAUGGUGAGAGUUUCCGGCGAUGGAAUAGGCUUCCUUAAUCGCAGAGAUUUGAGUGGCAACAUCUAGCAUCGUCAUUCGGCCUCUUGGCGAUUCCGCUGAGCACAGCAGGCCAAUUUCGGCCAACGGAACAAUGCAUCUUUGCAUUCUCAGAUUCGUCAUUGCUGUCUAGACCUUCUUCCUCUUCCGAAAUCACGGGAUCCAAAACUUCGGCCAGCUUCUCCGGAAAAGCAGUUUCGACGUAUUUGCGAAGGCUGGAUCCAUCUUGGAACAAGUCACUGGUCGGUUUCUUUCCGGUCAGAAGCUCCAGCAGAAGUAUUCCGUAGCUGUAAACAUCNGACAAAAAAAAAAAAAAAAAAAAAAAAAACAACAACUCUAUAGUAAAAAAAAAAAUUGCAUGGAAAUGCUCCACUCCUGGGUUCGAACCCUGCCUACCUUUUCGUUUUAGCCCCUCUGCUAUCUUAAUAUUGCAAACCUCCAAUAGUUAACAAAUCUUGUGCAUUUCUAAAGCAAACAUGAAGUUUCAUACGAGAUGAUGAUGAAAAAAAAAAAGGAAUAUGAUGAACUUUACCUGGAGCCACAUAUCCUAUGGAUCCUUUUAGCGCAAUCAAGCUUGUUGAAUUUGUAGUCGACGUUGUAGAAUGAGACAGAGAGAGAAACCUCGCUAAGCCGAAGUCGCCGACACAAGCAUUCAUAUCAUUAUCCAGAAGAAUAUUGCUCGGCUUCAGAUCGCAAUGAACAAUAGGAGAGACAGAGUGGUGAUGCAGAUAUUUUAGAGCAAAUGCCACGUCCGCAGCUAUGUUUAGCCUUUGCUUCAGGUUCAACCUUCUAGUUUGAGGAUGCCCGGAAACGUUCGGAUGCAGCCAAUUUUCCAAGUUUCCGUUAGGCAUGUACUCGAAGAUCAGAGCUCUGAACUCGUUUCCAGCGAAAUCAAUGCUUGAGCAAGACGUAAUAACUUUGAGGAGAUUCCUGUGACGGAUGUUUCUCAAAGCUGCGCAUUCGGCGCUAAAACUCUUAACAGCCCCACUCAGAAGAAUGUUGAAAACUUUCACUGCAACGACAUUCCUCGUAAAAUCGAAUUUUGCUACAUACACGGAACCGAAACUUCCAGAACCUACCAAAUUGUCGGAAGAGAAUCCGUUUGUCGCCUUCACAAUAUCGUUGUAGGAUACCUUCUUAUUCUUGUCCUCUAAGUAUGAUGUAUCGGUACUUGUUUUGCCACUCUUCCUCAGUAGUCGCCAAAGAAUUAAUAAACACAAUAGUGAGCACAGAGCGACAGAGGAGAUUACAAUUAUCACCUUGAUCAUGUGGGGACUUGGCCUUUUCUUGGAGACAUGGUUAGGGCAUGUCGGCAAUCGCAGCAUUGGCUCGCCACCGCAGAGCUUCGCAUUUCCAACGACAGAAAAUUUACUGAUAUUGCUAAAUACGCCGUCCUUUGGCACCUCGCCUUCAAAAUCAUUGAACGACAAGUUUAGAUACAACAAAGAAUUGAAAGCCUCGAAAAACUCUGGGAUCGGUCCGGACAAUUUGUUUCGCGAGAGAUCGAGCUCCUUAAUGCCUUCCAAAUUCUUGAAAGAUUGAGGGAUGUUUCCUUGAAAGAAGUUGCCAUCCAUGCUAAGGUAAUCUAAAAGCUGGCAAUCGCCAAGCGACGGAGGAAUUUCGCCUGAUAAUUGGUUCUCAGAGAGGUCUAAGUGGACAAGGGUGACCAAGUUACUCACUUCCGCCGGUAGUGAUCCGCUGAGAGAAUUAUGAGAUAAAUCAAGGUAUUGAGAGAGAGAGGACAAGCUAACCAAUUCUCGGGGUAUUGCUCCGGAGAAGGAAUUAUAAGAAAGGUUCAACACGCCCAAAUAUCUGCAACUUCCUAUACUUGCAGGAAUGCUGCUACGAAGUUCAUUUUCUUGUAAAUAAAGCUCGUUCAGCUGAGUGAGAUUGCCGAAAGUAGAAGGGAUCGGGCCUGAUAGUCUAUUUCCGGACAAGUACAGUAUAUGCAAGUUCCGAAGGUUUCCAAUGGCGGCUGGAAUUUCUCCGGUGAAAAGGUUUUGAUCCAUGUAUAACAAUGUUAAGCCGACGAGGUUUCCUAGCUCGGCAGGAAUGCUCCCUGAUAUGCGAUUCUUCCCGAUCAGUAGCCACUCGAGCGUGGGGGAAAGAUUGCCUGCGAAACGCGGAAGCGUGCGUUCAAGUUUAUUGCUCUGUAAAAAUAAUUUCUGCAGACGGCUGCAGUUGGUCAGGGAAGCCAGGAAGUUCCAAUCAUGAGCUUGGAGCUGGUUCCAACCAAUAUCUAGGUGCGUUAGGUUCUUUAGGGAGCCAAAAUUGGAAGGGAUUAGUCCGCUGAAUGAGUUGUUUGCGAGCCGAAUUGUUUGAAGUCCGGAAGCAUUGGACAACGAAUGCGGGAUGGGCCCUUCAAACUUAUUCGUUUGUAAGAUCAAAUUCUGAAGGUUAGGAAGAGUGAGGCCCAUGUCAGGCGGCAGCAUUCCGGAGAGGCUGUUGUCUCCGACUCCAAGGUAGGUGAGCAAUGAGACAUUAUAUAAGCGAAGCGGGAUUUCUCCGGACAAGUUAUUUAAGGACAAAUCCAACUCUUGCAGGUUUGGUAAGCUGCCUAAACUGUCUGGAAUGCUUCCUCGGAGGUUAUUUUCAGCAAGGUAGAGAAAACAAAGGGAUGAGUAAUUCCCCAGUGAAGAUGGUAUGCCUCCUGACAGUUUGUUUGUCGACAAGCCCAAAUAUUCGAGGGGUGAAGGGAAAGACGACGGAGGUAAACCUCCUGUCAAACUAUUUCUAUAAAGAUUAAUGUAAACAAGGGAUGAGCUAUUGCCAAGCGGUAACGGUAUGUUGCCUGAUAGAUUGUUUAACGAGAGAUCGAGCAAAAUAAGGUUUGAGCUUAUACCUAAUAAAGAAGGGAUACUUCCAAUAAGAUUAUUAUUUGAUAAAUUGAGAUACGAAAGAGAUGAACAACGACCUAGCGAAACUGGAAUGACUCCUUCGAGCUCGUUGCUCGAUAGGUCAAGAUAAGUCAAGGACCCACCACUACCUAUAGUUGGGGGGAUAUUUCCUGUUAGAGUAUUGUUGGAGAGAUCGACGUAAUUGAUCGAUGAGGAUAUGCUUCCUAGAAGAGGAGGGAUGCCGCCCGUGAGAUUGUUAUUGCUAAGAAUGCAACAAAGUAAGGAAGGAAGAGAACAAAAACCUGCGGGGAUUUCUCCGCUGAACAUAUUGUUACUUAAACUUACAAUUUCAAGGUUCAAGCAGUGGCUCAGAUUAGAAGGAAUGGGACCGUGGAGCUUGUUGUCCCUUAGACUGAUGGUUUGCAGUAGAGAACAAUGAGACAGUGUGGAUGGGAGUUCGCCUUCGAGAGAAUUCAUGCUCAAGUUGAGGUACCAAAGUCGGGAGAGAUGGCCAAGCUCUCGAGGAAUGUGACCGUGAAGUUGGUUGUUCGGAAGGUGAAUUCUGCGAAGAAAGGUAAGGUUGGCAAUAUAGGGUGAGAUAGAGCCGAUAAUGCCGUAGGAAUCAAGAUCCAAAGAAGUGACACGAUUCGGGUGUCGCAUGCCGCAAGUGACACCGUGCCACUCGCAGCAAUGGAGCGAUUUGUUGCUCCACGAGGACAAGGCUCCUAAAGGAUCCGAUAAUUGCGAUUUAACUGUCAGGAGGGCGAGACAGUCGGCGGUGCUGUAUUGUGUGACGGCGCUAACGGCACCGACGACUGAACUACGAGAGUUUAAGGAGCUAAGGGUGGCGAGAAGAAUUAGAGAGAAUGACUGCAAUAAACUAAUUCGGAGAAGAUACGGAAGAGCCAUGUUGUAACUUAAGUGGAAGGUGGUUAAUGCUCGAUUGAUCGAUGAUUCUUAUACUAGCUUCAUAUCAAUCUGGUCUUUAUAUAGAAAUCCAACGUACAAUCUUGGCAAAUAAAUGUGUUGCAUGAAAUUAUUAUAGAUGUCGAUCCCUCCUACGCUAGUCAAGUACCUAUUCUCGCGGACUUAAGUGGAGGACUUGGUCAUUUACUCAAGUCACAAUUUUUAUUCUCCUUAUCUUUUGGGUGGGGUUGCAGGGACAAAUCCCAUAACUACCACCACAUAAUGCAUCUACACCUUUUGCUUUAUACUUCAAUUCUUUAUUCAGAAAACUGUUUGUUAGGCACCAAAUGUAAUACUUUUCACAAUAAAAAAGAGGAAAGAAAAAAGAAAAGAAAACUUAGCUUUCGACCUGCUUGAAGACUCGACCUGUUGACGGGACUCCAGAGUGAACGCAAUCUCGUUCAAACGACGACCAAAACUACUUUCGCUGGACCGAUUGUUCCUAACGUAAGUGAUAAAGAAUUUAGAGAUUGAUAUCCGAGGUUCCAAGUUCAAAUCCUAGUUGAUUCAUAUUUUCAGCUAAGUUUAUUUCUAAAUAAAAUAAACGAAACAGAUAGCAUGCUACUUAUCUAUCAAAAAAAAAAGAAAAAAAAAAAAUUUCGCUGGGAUGUUCACUUCUAUUCACAUGCUUGGGAAAAAAAUCCUAACAUUUAUACAAUAUGAGGAAUUUUUCUAUCUAUCAAUUUACGUUUUUGGGUUGGGUUCGAAUCCUUCAAAACAAAAUAUGCACAUUAUCUAGUUCUUGUUCUCGGUCCAUUCAAUUAAAAUAUGGACAGUAUCUUCUACCUUGAAUAAUCCAUCACCCAAACAAUUAUGGAAAACUUAAAAACUAUUUAUGUAGAUUAAUUUACAAGCCGUCCAAAAAAUCAGCCAACAACAAAAAUCACUAAGAGGGUGUUUGGUUGUACAAAAAAUCGUGAAAAAAAAAUUUUUUGAAAAAAAAAUUAUGAUAGGAAAAAAGUUUGAUAUUUUAUAGUGUUAUCAAAAAUUAAGUUUGAUAUUUUAUAGUAUUUGGUUUGUAGAAAAAAAAAGUUUCAGUAGUAUAUAUCAAUAUAAAGAGAAAGAGAGGGUAAAUAUCAAAAAUUAAGUUUGAUAUUUUAUAGUGUUUGGACUUCUUGCUUUUUACAAUAGUAUAUGAAUAUAGAACUUUAAAAUAAAGUAAUACAGUAUUAAAACAUAUUAAUACCGAAGUAAAAAAUAAUAUAUAAAAUUUUUAAUAGUUUCUGAAUAAGCCCUUAUAAUUAUGAGCAAUGUUACAUAUAGGUGUAAAUCUUACAUCAAAUUUAUCAAAGAAUCUCCUCUCUUCACAUCCUCAUUUUUUAAAACUAAAAAUUUGAAACGGUUGCGUUAAUACUUAAAUUUGAUGUAAAAUUUAUACCUGCUUUAUAGAUACACAAGAUAGUUAUUCUUUUCUGCAAUUAUAUAUAUGCGGUCAAAAAGCCUAGUGUCCGUGUGAAAUGCGCGGGGGGAAACGUCCUUUUCGAUGCUUAUGGCUUUGCCCUUUAUGGAUGUACGCGUUCAUAGUGGCAAAUGAAAAAAGUAAUGAGUGCCAACGCACUCAUCUUUUAAAAUUACGAAUAAACGACCGCAAGAUGUUGCACCCGUGGAAACGGCAUCUGCAUGCCCUUGCUGGUCAUGAAGUUCACACGGGAAUGCCACCUUCGAUACGAUCGAUCGCCUAUAAACGUGGUUGAUAGAAAUAAUUAAAAGCGCUGUUGUACUUUACAUAUAUAUAUGCGUCCCAAUUAAGAGCUGAGGGUAACUUCGUUCCGAAGUGGUUAUUUAACUAACUUUUUUUUUUUUGAUUAAACAGGGAUCAACCCUAUUUUAGUUAUUUAACUAACUAAAAGUCUAAAAUGCUGUCGAAGGCUUUCCUAGUCCUCUCCGUGCUCUUGCUCAUGUUGUUUGGCUGCAGCGCCUCCGCACUGGUGUCUUCCGCCUCCGCUUCCGCCUCCGCCUCCGCCUCCGCCCCCUCUCCCGCUCCAAAUGGUAUGAAUGAUCUGCCGGCAGCAGAAACCUCUUUUAUUAAUACCCUCUGCUCGUCUAUAUGCAUGCUAGCUAGCUCGCUUGUUCGGUACGCUUGAUGCAGAUACGGAUUGCGGCAAGAAGUUCAAGUGUGUGAAGGGCCGACCGCAUUCCGUGGACUCCAAUCCUGAUGGCCAUUCCUUCGGGAACCUGCCUGGUCCAUCCCCUGUUCGACAAAGUCAAUUUGCAAACGUCUACGCCCGAGAUCCUGUCCGGUGAAAACCUUUUCUAACCCCUGUUAUUCUUUACAAUACAUACAGUUAACAUCUCAAUCACUCGCCAGCCGUGUUUAUCUGUUGAGCUGCUGCUUAGUUUACGAGUUUUGGGCUUUAAUUACCAGCAUGCUUUGGAAGAAUUUGUGGAGCCAAAACGUACAGUAAGCUCCUUCCUUAUCCUUACAGGAUUAGGGUAUAUGAGAGCAGAGCUGGGUAAUCAUCACUUCUGAGCCCCAACUCUAAAUUUCAACAAACUGCCAACAACCACGGAUGGUCUGGUUGAGUAGUGAGAGAUGUGAUCGCUUGAGACGUACAAAGUGAACUGAUUACAUGGCGCAUCCACCGUGCGAUGUUGAGUUACUGGAACUCACCGGUCAGAUGGAGUGUGCUGGAUGCCUAGCUCGAUCGAUAGUUUUCAUCCAGCUAGCCAUUCAACUUUUAUAAUAAAUUUUUUAAAAAUUUUCAAAAAAACUCUCGAGUCUGGCAUGUUUUUAUGUUGAGGAGUGUUCAUAGUUUUAACCAAAAAAUAUACUUCAAGCUGAAAAUACUUAACCUGUAUGCGUUGCUUUCUUUAUUUAUUUUAGGGGCUAUCCAGGUUCUUCUCCCUACAUCAGAUCAUGACUUGUAAUACUCCAAGCUAAGGAUUCAUUUGGAAUUGCACGAAGAUUAUAGCAUAUAUAAAAAAGAAAGGACAAUGAAGAUUUUUUUUUUUCGUACCUAAUAUUAGGUUAUGCAUGUCGUAAUGCAUCGGUUACGAUGUAUGUUCUAUAGUUCUGUUGUAAAAUAAAGAAUUAUAUUUAUAUAUAUUUUUAUUCUAACUCCAUUUUGUCUAUUAAUACUAAAUGGAUCAAUUAAAAUACCAAAUGGGUUAGUCAAUAAAUUUACGUUUUUUCAGAAUUCAUAAGAUCUGGAUGGACAUGGAUAAGAGAAAGCAAUCUCUCUCUUGUGCUUUUUCACUCUGGCAGUUCUCUUUUUCAAUUCAGAGCUGUAUUUGUGAUUUGGAGUUUUGCCUUACGGUGCUGGUACCACACCCUGUUGUUAUGCAUUACCUAAAAUUUUCUAGAAAAAUAUUUUCUGAAAAGUAUUAUUCUAAUUUUUUUUCUCUUUUUUUAGAAAAAAAAAUAGCAAGUUUCGUUUAUUAGGAUAAUGAACUUGACUAAAAAAACUGAGGCAGUAAGACCUUAUAGAAACGAGGUGAAAACAAACAAGAAAAAUUGACUAUUUCUAGAGCAAGUGGCAAAACCGAUUGUGCCCUAAAACUUGAAACCCAUCAUAACUAACUUUGCAUAUUACCUCCUCCUCAUGUUUAGAUCAUUUUGCGGAAUUGGGCAUCUUUUGGGCGUUGAUUUGAUAUGUUUUUGUUUUAUUUUUGUGGUUCUGCAAGUGGCAUGAUCGAUCGCCCGAACUCUGGACUAGCUUCGAGUUUUGACAGUCAACCAAUUGUGGGCGCAAUAAACUCUAUUAUAAGGCGAUUAACUGAGCUCGGACCUUAGGUCGACCGGGAAACAACUAGAAACUGUAGACAACAUCUUCUUUGACUACUACCGAUUCUCGAUACACUAACGAAUCGUGAGUAGAAUAUUUUCUAACUCAGUUGACAAUUUUGCAAAACUUUUUGACCAUUUAGAUUGUAAUUUGGUAAAAAUGUACAAAACUUAUCUAAACUAUAAAUAAUGUUGAACCAGCUAUCAAGCCUUUCGAAAUUUUGGUUUUACCACCCAAUCUCAUUAUUUUCCAAAUUUUAUACUUAUUCCCAAAUUUUAAAUUUAAUUUAUUCAAGUAGUUAUGAUUUUUAUACAAUUAAUUCGAUGUAAAAUAAUAUAUAAUAUUAGUUUCUAUAAAAAGGGUACUAUGAUAAUUUUAUAGUUGGAUACUUUCAUUGUGGGACCCAACGUAGAGAUAAUAUAUUUUCAUAUAUGCUAAGAUAUGUACCAAAUAAAAUAUUCUCAUAGGACAGGAAUUCUAUCAUAAAAAUAGAUUUCAUGAAAAAUAAAUUUUCAAUAAAAAAUUUAAAUCUCGGGAACGCCUUUAAAAGAAAAAAGGAAAAAAAAAACCCUAGUUUUUUAUGUAUAUAUUUUUUAAAAAAGUUCACUUGUCGAACGGUGGGAAUUGUAAAAUAAAGGCAAUUGGUAGUCCAUGCUAGUCAGAUGAUAAACUAUGCAGCACCAGUGCAUAACUUCUGCCCUAUAAAAAAGUUCAGAGAGCGACAAACUUUCUUUUCUUUUCUUUUUUGAAAAAGAGGUAACAAGCUAUCUACUUCAUUCAUUAAGCAAAUAAACUAAGCAUACAAGAUGAAAACAGCUAAAACCUCCGAGGCAGUGCCAGAAAACAGUACAAGAAUAAAGCAGAAAAGAGAUUAGGUAAAAAAGGAAGAGGAGAGAGAAAGGUGAGGGAAAAAAAAAAUUUAAGAAGAAGAGCAGAAAGCUGAUGCAAUCAUCAAAGCUGUGUCCACGAUUCCAUCAGACGUAUGAUGCGCUCAAUAGCCUGGGUAGCAUUGAAAAGUUUAGUACUGAAAAUAAUGUUGUUUUUUUCCGUCCAGACAACCCACCGACUUUCUUUUCUUUUCAAUAAUGCGAGAUUGCCUGGAAACAUAAACAGCAAAAUUAUCUACAACAGAACAUUCGCCUUCGACGUAGUAUUUUAAGCAAACAAAUCAGUAGCAGCUACAAUUAAUCAAGAAACCCGGUGUUCGUUUUAUUCAUUUUCAUUCUAUUUAUUUUUUGUUUUACAGUUCCUGAGAAUUAAUUUACUGGUGUGAUUCAACCUAUUUGAUUCCACCUUUGGAAUAAGCGUCCCGGAGAGUAACAGUUCUGUUGAAAACAGGCUUCUCAGAAUUAGUAUCAGGAUCCACAGCAAAGUAACCUGGAUUUACAAAAAAAAAAAAAAAAAGGUGAAAAAUAAAGCACGUUUCGAAAUUAAACAAGUUUAUGUGAAUAAAUCAUCUCGGAGAGAAUAAGAUGGAUAAGCAAUGAAGCCAUUAAAAUGCGAGAGCACAAAAAGCUUAAAACGAAGAAAAUGGUUUGAUUGUCACACGUAAGUUCAUCUAUUUCUAUCCUAACAUUAGUCAUAGAAAUUAGCACUUUAAAACUUGAGAUUUGAUUAAGCUUUAAUUUAUAUGAAACAAAAGGAAUGAACUAAAAUUGGAGAUUACCAAGCCUUUCAAAUUGAUAUUUGUCACCUAACACAGCACUAGCAAGCGAUAGUACAGCAUAUGCUUCGUGUAUCACCUCCUUCGAAUUCGGAUUCGGAUCGGAUAGCCAAUCUUCUAGUUCAGCAGGAUUCUAAAAAGCAAUAGGACAAUUUACCAUCAGAGAACAUAUAUUUUAGAGUUCCACUCCAGAGAGUGAGAGAGAAGAAGCGAGAGAGAAGGAAAAGGAAUGAAGCAUGCUGAUACUAAUACGGACCUCUGAAAGGAACAAUUUCUCGAAUAGUCUGACUUCCACCUUCAAAGGUUCAACUCCAGGAGAAGGUUGGGCAACCCAAUGUAGAACACCCUACUUAGUUAUCAAGAAAGUCAAUAAAUACUUAUGUAUUACACCGUAGAAUUUUACUGUAUUAUACAGAAAGAAAGAAAAAUCAAUGCCUUCGGUUUUGUUUUCUUCAAAAAAUCAUACUCAGCAUGAAUUUCAAUAACACUAUUUUCGUCGUCACCAUAUAUAACAUCUGUGCACUUUAUUGGAAAGGCAUAUCUGCAAUUUCAGAAAAGAAAAAAAAUUGCACCAGUUUAUUAACUAUAUGUUAGCGACUAUUAGAGCAAGCUGUGAACUUCAUUCUUCUGAAUCACUUGCCUGAGGAGGACAGAUUUACCAGGAGCGAGGCCAUAGUAAUCUUUCGAAUCGUUUUUGCGAAAAUCCGAGCGUUCAAUGUAAAGAAUACUUGUGAAAGGAACCUAUAACAAGAGCGUGUGAAAUGUGCAUUUUGCGACCUUCAUCCAUGUAUAAAUACCUCUGAGCGAGUGUGUUAAGGAUUUGCAUGAAAGUACCUUGUAGUAGGAAGAACCAUCAUUUGAAAGAGCAGCGGGCCACUUUUUUGCAUCAACAUUUAUUAUCGAUUCAUUAUCUAGAUUUGUGAUGACAACCUGAAUGCUCAGAUCCGGCAAAUUGAUUGAAGAAACAAGCAUAAACAGUUAGUGAUAGGACAAAUGAAGUAUCAUCUAUAACUCAUCUCGAAAUACCUUUACAGGAUGCAAGACGACCGUAGUUCGAGGUGCUGUUUUGUUGAGCUCUUCUCUGAUAUAAUACUCAAGACGAUCAAUGUGUAUCAUGCUAUUAUCACUGUAAACAAUGACUAAAAGAGUAACUUUCUUAAACAAUAAAGAAAGAACGCAGUGCAUGCAGAUUGAAUGCUUUGAGACUAUUUAGAGAAUGCACAUAUCAUGUGUGCAUCCAACUUUAGUGAUUGAACUACGUAAUAUAAGCAAAAGACUGUAAACUAUAUAUAUUUUGGACUAAGUUCAAAUAGAAUAAGUAGACAAAAUAAGAAUAACUGAACAAAUCCGCAUGACUAUAGAAAAGUCAAAUGAAAUGCGAGUGAAACAAGUAACAAUUUUGACAUGAUCCACAAAAGGUUGAUUCAUCCCUCAAGAGCGGUAUAAGAAAUGUCUUGUACUUGAUUUCUCCUUCGCAAGUAUAUUCUCUCUGUUGUGGUACAGACCUGAAAUUCUAACAAAAAAUUUUGGAAAAAAUAAAAUAAUGAAUUAAAAGAUGGUGCAAAUAAAAUUUACAAGAAGCAUGAUAUCUGAUUAGUUAAGAAUACAUACCUUAUGAGUUGUAUCUCCGAUAAACACUACUCUCUGUUAAUAAAAAUUAAAUUAUUAUUUUUAAGGAUAAAAAUAUUAUAGUAUAUAGGUCAAUAUCAAAAAAAAAAAAAAAAGAAAUAGAAUUACCUUAUAAAAGAAUAAGGAACCAUACUACAAAUGCCGCAAGCGCCCCCUGUAUCCUCUGCGCCCCUCUUCAAUCUCAUGUAUCCUUCUUCCCCCAAUUAGGUAGUCUCCUUCCUGCGGAUCUACUACCUACCCAAUGAUCAAAACCUCAUGAUUUAGGUUUGAUCUUUCAGUUGGGCAACCUUGAAAAACUCCUCCAUCAUACUUAUACCAACUUUUGUCCACUCCUACCGCCGCAACAACCGGCUGCAAAUCAACUAUCUUCUCCAAACUCUUCUCAUCUAUGUCAAAGUAGCUGUGAUACCUGUCGAUGUGUGCGACAUGGUGACUCGCUAACUUACGAUUGCACUUGUCCUUGUAUCCCGUGAAAUGAUAGAUUCCCAAACGGGGAAACGGGUACCCAUCCCAACUAGUAAUUCCACUAUUAAGUAGUAUAUAAUGAAAUGCCAAUGUUGAAUUUCCAUAUUCCCCUUGGAUUGUUCAUGAAAAUACUGGUAUCGGUGCAGUCAAGUAUAAGAUAAAAAAAGACAUUACACUUUAUUUGGUCGCUCAAAUGAGAGGGGGAAGCAUCCCUUUCCUUCGGCGUGCAUAUAGAGUCGUAUCUGUCGCAUGUAUGCACAAGAUAGAUGACUUCAAGAGACAAAUCAUGACAUCAAAAGAAGAAAAACAUAUAGAUUGGCGAGAGAAAAGUGCAGUUACUCCCGUAAAAAACCAAUUUAAAUGUGGUAAAUAUAAAUUUUUUCAUCAAAUAAAUAAAAAUUACUUUAUAUUAUAUAUUUUUUUUUGGAAAAAGCAAUUUUAUCCUUUUUUUAUAUAUUUUGUUUUAUUGUAUUAUAGAUUGCUGCUGGGCAUUUGCAGCAGCAACAACAAUGGAGAGCCUUCACGCAAUUAAAAAAGAACUGAUCAACUUAUCGGUGCAGGAAAACCUAUAAGUUGAUUAGUUCUUCUUUUUUAAUUGCGUGGAGGCUCUCCAUUGCUGUUGCUGUUGCAAAUGCCCAGCAGCAAUCUAUAAUACAAUAAAACAAAAUAUAAAAAAAAAGAUAAAAUUAUUUUUUUUAAAAAAAAAAUAAUAUAAAGUCGUUUUUAUCUAUUUGAUGAAAAAAUUUGUACUUACCACAUUUAAAUUAGUUUUUUACGGGAAUAGCUGCGUCUUUCUCUCGCCAAUCUAUAUGUUUUUCUUCUUUUGGUGUCAUGAUUUGUCUCUUGAAGUCAUCCAUCUUGCGCAUACAUGCGACAGAUACGACUCUACAUGCACGCCGAAGGAAAGGGAUGCUUCCCCCUCUCAGUCAAGCGACCAAAUAAAGUGUAAUAUCUUUUUUUUAUCUUAUACUCGACUGCACCGAUACCGGUAUUCUCAUGAACAAUCCAAGCGGAGAAUAUGAGAAUUCAUCAUUGGCAUUUCAUUAUAUACUACUUAAUGGUGGAAUUACUAGUUGGGAUGGGUACCCGUUUCCCCCUUUGGGAAUCUAUCAUUUCACAGAAUACAAGGGCAAAAGGGCAAGUGCAAUCGUAAGUUAGCGAGUCACCAUGUCGCACACAUCGACAGGUAUCGCAGGUACUUUGACAUAGAUGAGAAAAGUCUGUAGAAGAUAGUUGAUUUGCUGCCGGUUGUCGCGGCGGUAGGAGUGGACAAAAGUUGGUAUAAGUAUGAUGGAGGAGUUUUUCAAGGUUACCCAACUGAAAAAUCAAACCUAAAUCAUGAGGUUUUGAUCGUUGAGUAGGGAGUAGAUCCGCAGGAAGGAGACUACCUAAUUGGGGGAAGAAGGAUACAUGAGACUACUUAAUUGGGGGAAGAAGGAUACAUGAGAUUGAAGAGGGGCGCAGAGUAUACAGGGGGCGCUUGCGGCAUUUGUAGUAUGGUUCCUUAUCCUUUUAUAAGGUAAUCUAUUUCUUUUCUUUUUUUUUAUAUUGAUCUAUAUACUAUAAUAUUUUUAUCCUUAAAAAUAAUAAUUUAAUUUUUAUUAACAGAAAGUAGUGUUUAUCGGAGAUACAACUCAUAAAGUAUGUAUUCUUAACUAAUCAGAUAUCAUACUUCUUAUAAAUUUUAGUUGCACCAUCUUUUAGUUAAUAAAAAUUAAAUUAUUAUUUUUAAGGAUAAAAAUAUUAUAGUAUAUAGAUCAAUAUAAAAAAAAAGAAAAGAAANAUCUUGAGGGAUGAAUCAACCUUUUGUGGAUCAUGUCAAAAUUGUUACUUAUUUCACUCGCAUUUCAUUUGACUUUUCUAUAGUCAUGCGGAUUUGUUCAGUUAUUCUUAUUUUGUCUACUUAUUCUAUUUGAACUUAGUCCAAAAUAUAUGUAGUUUACAGUCUUUUGCUUAUAUUACGUAGUUCAAUCACUAAAGUUGGAUGCACACAUGAUUUGUGCAUUCUCUAAAUAGUCUCAAAGCAUUCAAUCUGCAUGCACUGCGUUUUUCAGAAUCGUUGGGUUUCUGAAUCAAUGCAUUCUCUCUUCAAAUUGAUAUCUGACUGUAAAUAUUGCAUUCUUCCAACGGGAUGCCCGUUUUCCUCCCAAUCAAAUAUCUGAGUUCUCUCACAGUGUCACUUAAGCUAACACGAACUAUAAGCCUCUUUCCAUUUAAUAGCCGGAUAAAUAUUUGAACCUGUAAAACUUAAUAGAUUUAUUACUAUUCCCCAAAAAGAAUUGCUCAAAAAUUUAUUAAAAAUUUGAAACUAAGACAAAAAAAAAAAAUACUGUGCACAAAAGAAAGUCAUAAAAAAAUUUGUUAAAUAUUUGAAAUCAUUGAAUGUUUUUAAUUUUUCAAUUUUCCUAUUUUUUAUUUUUUUCCAAAAUACUUUCAAUUUUAACUUAAAAAUAACUUUAGUUUAAAUUCAGUUUUUAAAUUAAAAUUUUAGUUUUAAUUAUAUGUUAAAUUUAAUAUAAAAUUAAAUUUACUGAAUUUAAACUUUGAAUUCAAAUUUUGACUAAAUUUGAAUUUAGAUUUAAAUUUUAUAUUCGAAUUUUUAAUUUAAAUUUAGAUAUUGUAUUCAAACUUCUAAAUUCAAAUUUGCUUUUCAAGAUGGAAAUCAUGGUCAAAUUAAGAUUUUGUAUUCGAAUUUUUUAAUUCAAUAGAUCCAAAGUUUGAAUUUAAUUUUUAAUUUUAGAUUCAACUUUUAAACUCAAAUUCCAUUUUUCUAUUAGAAUUUAAAUUCAAUUUUAAAUUCAAAUUUAGAUUUAAAUAAAAUUUCAAGUUUAAAUUCAUAUUUAAAUUUUGAACUUGAAUUUUAAAUUUAAAUUUACAUUUUGAAUUCGAUUUCAAAGUUGUUCCACUUUUUUUUUGUGUUUGGAUAUGAAGAGAGGAAUAACCCUUUAUUCCCCACCGCCCCAACCCCCACAUGUAUCAAACAAUGAUGAAACAACAUAGGAAAUUCAUAAAUCAACAACAUUAGACCGUAUAAGCCAGUUUUGAUUAACCUCCAUCAACAUUCGUAAAUCCAUCUUUGAACUCGAUCUGUGCAACGGAAACUUAAGAGUUUCUGCUCAUAUUGAUGUUAGACCGUAGCUUUACUUUCACAGUUAAUUAAGCUCAAACCAUUUGCAGCCGCAAUUCAUGGCUGUUAGAAAGCAAACACUAAUUAUGAGCGAAGCACAGUAUGAACAGUGCGUUGUAGUUUAAGUAGCUGGAGAGAUUCCAUAAAAGUUUGAGACCUUCAAUACACUAGACAUAUAUUAUUUGAACUCAUAUUCACUUGUUUAUUAAAUAACUGGUUGAUCUCGAGCCUAUAUACUAAUAGUCAUAACUGUAAAGAACUACUAUUACCUAAAGCCCGAGUGGCUUGAAUGUAGGGUCAAGGCGUUGCUUCCCAGGACUCAGAUGCACCAAAAUAACCCGUUAGUAAAUAAAAAAAAAAAAGAUUUGAAGUUGACGGAUCAAUUUCAAUAGAACUUAUAAAUGAAGAGUUCUGUGAAAACCCUUGUUGCUAUUUUUAGUCCUUUUUUUUAAAAUUUUCCUCCUUAUCUUUUUAACCCUAGCCAUUCUAUUUACUCCUUAAAUUUUUCUUUUGAACAAAUUUUACUUGACUAGGUAAAAGUAAUUAGAAUACGAGUUUUCUAUAAUGGGAGGUUCAUGGUUUGUCUAUAGGUUGUUUACUAAAGUUCAUAAAAAAAUAUGCAUACGGGUAUCCAUACCUGAUUUAGACCUGACCUGUACCCGAUCCAUAUCCGAUCUUAAGUGGGUAGUAUACGGGUAGUCAUUACCCAAAUCCGCUCAAAUAGACCCGAUGGGUAUAUUAUUAACUUAAGUAUCCGGACCCAAAUCUAACCAGAAACUAAGUGGGUAGGGUAUAUAUAUUUUUAUAUAUUUUUCUAUCCAUCUCUUUUUAGGGUACGGAUACAAUAUAUCAACUAUCCAGACCCAACCUGAUAGAAUUUACAGUGCGGGUUGGAAUAAAUAAGCAAAGAGCAUUAUUGGGCUAUGAGCUCCUACAUUCCCUUCAUUCUUUUUCUACUUUUUGUUCUUAUUGGAUCCUACUGUACGACGUAGAUGAAGUGUUGUCUAAACAGUACUUCUGGAAGAAGCAUUAUAUUAAAAUAGGAUUUUGCAGGCUCGAGAGGAUGCUCGAUGCCCUAAGGACUCUGGCAAAGAUAGUGUUGGAUUGUGUCCCGAUCAGACGGGGGUUGAGCGGAAAGGUUUACAGGGUUUGGUUCAGGAGGCUCGGAUCGAUGAGAUGAGAAAGUUGGAUGCAAUGCUGAAGAGCGUGGAAGGGGGCAGCGAUAUCCCUUCUUGAUAGCUUUUUCAUUAUACCACCAUUUGCGGUGCAUGUGCACAUCUAUUGUGACCAUACCCGAACCCUACCCAGACCCAAAUCAUACUUGAAUUUCAAAAUUUUAAACCCCAAUAGUCCCACCUCAUUCUUAAAAGCAGAAAGUUUGUUGAAAUUAUAUAUGCUCAUGUAAACAAGAUACUAUGUAUACAUGAUACCCUGUAGCUUACCUGUGGCAGUAUGGAAGGAUGAGAUCUGAGAAUCUUCGCUGUGUUCGCAUUAAGAAACUCAAGUGCAUGUUCGGCAACAACAGUAUCUGCAAACUCUCUGCAAGCCAAAAAGAAAUCAUCACGCAACAAUUACAUGAGGUACUUAUAUUUUCAUCCCAUACUAACACAAGGAUCCGGUACAUUUCAAUAUUGCAAUCUUAAAACAUACAAGGAUGGUUCAGAGUAAAACAAACAAAGUAUGAUGCCUAAAAAGAAGCAAAUGUAUGUGUUCCUUCUAAUUCGUCGAAUAUAGUAGUUGUUGUGUUUGUCAAUGACUGAAAACUACAUCCAUCUAGAAUCAUUUCUAUUCUUACAGGUUGUAACAAAAACGCAAAAUAUUAACAUGCUAAUGAUGCACUACUAUCAGCAUACAUAAGAAAUCCUUUACCUACUCAGGCAUGACCGAAAGAAGGCGCUUAGACUAGCAUCAGCAUCAUGCAGAACCACUUCUCGAAAAUCAAGGAAAAAUUGGAGGACAGUCUGAAAAGAAGAAGAUGCAGCAAGUAUUAGCAGUUUCCACUAUAUUAAUGAAAAAUAACCAGAUAAUAGGUCAACAAUGUAUUGACCUUCUGUGAAAUGUCCAGCAGUUUCAAUGAAGUUUCUUCCGUCAAAAUGCCCAUUAGUUCAGAUAGAAAUUGUCAAAUCAGCACCAAGCUUUACCAUAUGGCAAUUUUGGUCAAAGUUGAUGAGCCCUUUGACGGAUCACACUUUAUUGAAACAACUAAUAAGCAUUAGAUACUUAGUUAUGAAGAUUAAGAGGUCAGGAACCAAAGUUAAUGGAGAAGAACAAACUAAAAACUACUUCUACAAACCAAAAAAAAAAAGUAACUAGACUAUACUCAGCAGUAGGGAGCAAAAAUCAAGCCAAAUUGCAGGAAUUCUAAAAAAGACAAGAAAAUACCGAUCAAGACAACAAAUCCUAAGCUAAAAGGAAAAUAACAAACUAAACUACACUAUGAUGAUGAUCCACUCAGGAGAAUAAAAUUACAACAACAAAUCCCAAUCAAAACAACAAAUAUAGAUCUUCUUAUGGCGAAUCGGCUAAUUCGCACCAGGAGAAGAACGCCAUUGGAGGUCAGCGACUGGGGAAGCGCAGAGACGCAUCGCUGGAAGAGCUUGUUCAUAUGGGGGUAAGCUCGAGCCACCAACUCCUCCGACCCCGAUUCCUUACAAAUCUCGUAGAUCUUCCUCACCCUCAAUCACAUAAGCCCCAGAACGAAACCCUGGAUCAAACUUUUUGCCCAAAAAGGAGAACGAAUUCAAAGGGGAAAAGCAUACGGAUUGGAGGAGGUAAGGAUCCGAGGCGGGGUCGCUCGCGGCGGAGGAGUCCCUCGAUUUGGCGGAGAGGAAUCGGAGAUGGAAUUCCCAUUCGCCUCCUCAACCGAGCGUCGUCGUUGUCGUCGCCAUGGGCGCGAGCUCUCUUUCUCUGUCUCGGUCCCGCUCUCUCUCUCUUUCCCCCUCCUCUUAAAUGGCAAGGUUCGGAAAUGGGAGCUAUUGCGGUCGCGAAAGGAUCAAGCGUCGAACAGUGUAGCUACAGCCCUUAGACAUUUGUUAUUUUACAGUUUAAAUGCACUAAAUGCUCACUCACGUCUCGUUUGAAGUUUGAACUACUGCUAAUUCUUAGAGACGGAAGAAGGAAAGAAUCGGUCAGAGUUUUUGAGGUGGCCGUACCAUUGCAUGGCCGAAAUGGGCGUCCGUCCGGGCAUAGCAGCUGCGCAUUAAUGCAAAAAAAGUUUGCCUGCACUUUGUCUGUUGGAAUAUGAAAUCUGUUUCAUCAAAUGCAGAGGGGAUUGGAAGAUGAAGGGAUGGAUGAGGAAAGGUCUGUUGCUAAUGUGGUAAACCAUGUUCAGACCCCCCCCCCGGAAGCAUAUCUGGCCCUCCUGCCUCCACUACCCAGGAUAAAGUAUUGCAUGAGGUUGGUGCACGCCCACAAGUGAUUCAACGGUAAGGAUUGACCUUAAGGGUGCUGGAUGGGCGGGCCUCGUACAUUCAUGGAUACACCCGAUGCACACUAAUUACUCCAGUCGGGAUCACGCAUCGCCUCCCGUACAACGGCCCGCAUACGCGUCUUAUUGGAAAGGAAACGUGCUCCAAAAUUCGAAAACUUUAAAAAUAUGAUAAAUAAUAAUAAUUUACAAAUAAAACAAAAGAGGAAUUUACUUUUUAAAAACGAAAAAUUAUAAUGGCUGCACUUAGCUUGUAUAGGAGACGGGGCAAUAAAUAUAUUAUAAAAUUUAUUUUUAAACUUAAAUAUUUAAUAUUUAAGAAAAUUUCUAAAAUUCCUAAAAUAAUGCCUACAUUAGUGAAAAAUUAAUAAUUAAAUUUGAAAUAUCAAUCAAUACCUUAAAUUAAUGCUUAAAUUAAUAUAAAAUUAAUGCCUAAAUUUGAAAUAUUAAUCAGAAGUUUCUUUAAAUUUUGCCUAGUUUAGUUACGAACAUACCCUCGGCAUGAAAUAACUUUUUAACCUGCUACUCUUCGUUAAUUAACGGUUAAGAUCUUUUUAAUUUUUUAUAAAAUAAAAUACCAAAUCAUUUCUCAGAAUAGUUGAAUAUAUUAUCUACUAUUAAACCUUUAAUUCUUUCUAGUUAACUAUCUCACUGCAAUUGUGAUCAAAUUCCAUAACUAAUUAUAACUCGUGACAGUGAUCGAUCAUUUGUCUCUUAAAAUUUUACUUUUAUCAAGCUUAUAUUUUGAAUGCGCUGAUAAACUUAAAAAUUUCCUAUAUAACUAUGACUUAUUAAGCAAAAACAAACUAAAAAUGGGAAGCCAGAAAGUAAAUUAAAGUAGAAUAAAAGUUUAUAUAAUAUUUUAUUUUUAAGGUUUGGAUGACUAGAUAGUUGUGCCAAAGUUUUGAUCAAUCCGAAGUUUUUUCUAUUUUUCCCUUUAGAGAGAAGAGUGUGCCGUACUGUACUUUGGCCAGCAUGGCAGACACUGCCCCAUGAAAGGGCACCUCGAAAAGACAAUUAACUUUCACGUAGAUUAAAUAAGAAAGAGAUAUCCUUGCUUUGAAUUGUAUUAUGUUUCUAAAGUUGUUUCACCACAGGAUCCCAUGAGGUUAAUUCCUUCAUUUGGACUUUUUUUAAAACUAAAAUUCUUUUAGUGGUUCUUCUACAGGUUGACUGCAAGCACUUCACCUCGUCCUCCAAAGUGCGUUGCUGGAUCUACCAUCAUCUUUUGGUUGAAAUUCUACAAUUUUUUUAUCCAAAAAUUAAUCGCAUUUUACUGAUCGUUUCUUGCUCAAGUGCAUUGCUGGAUCUUCACCUCGUCCUCCAAAGUGCAUCGCUGGAUCUUCACCAAGAACUAAUCUCCCUGGCUUCGAAAUCUGCCUAUCUCAAACUUCACUUUUUUCAUUUCUUGUUAUUUGAUGCACACCAGGGUGUUUUACUAGAGUUUUCAGUUUUGAAUUCUGCAGCACUUCCAAACUUUCUCAUCUGAACCUGCCUCUAGUGACACCUGAUCUUACUGAAACAAUCAGACAUGCUGUAUCAUCCAAUAAAAACCUUCCUUGGCUCCCCACCUAUGACAUUAUUGCAGUCUUUCAAGUAGUCAUUUUCAUGUAUAUGAAGUGCAGCUGCAUGCCACUGAUGACACCGCCAACGAGACCACAUUAAGACUAACAGAGAGUUUUCACAGUGAUUUUCUAGGAUGAAGCUUGUGAUUGAAAUGCUAUAACCUACAAUGCAAAAGACAAAAGAGAAAUAGAUAAGAUGCAUUUAAAACAAAACCAUGCAUAGACAAAAACCAUAUACCAGCCAUUGACUAACAACUGGAACUUGUAGUCAACUUAAUUUCUUCAACAGGCACCACUUGAAUAUUCCUUAAUUCGUAAAACCAGCAAAAACACUUUAUCCCGGAGGACACUUAAAAAUACAUUGAACAUCCAUUUGCAAGUAAUUUUUCAAUCAGUCCGUUGAGCCGGCCAUGCGUGGCUACACAUAAGCUAUAUUACAGUCUAAAAAUAGAAAAAGUAGAAAACUAAACUUUAUAACAAUAGGCUACAAACAAAAAGAAAAAUAAAAAAAAGAAGCACUAAGUAGACAACAAACUCAAAACAACUAACCUCAUCCCUUGCAACCUGCAACUGCAAUGGACAAACACAUGUUGCUCUAGGAGCUCGGGAGAUGGCUAUGCAGAGCAAGUCGAUCAGGUUCCAUAUAAGCUGCAAAUAAGACAUACUCUAUAUUUAAGGGAGGGAUACCAGAAAGUGAAAAGAAAUCACCAUAUGCAAUAAGAUCAAUACCUGCAAAAGAAACAAUUCCAAGAAGAGAAGGCGCAAGGCUCUAUCGAAAGCACAGGGCUCUUCCUACACUUCUCUCCACAGAAUACUAUGGCCAGAAACUCUUCUGAAUUCACAUGCAUAAGCCAGCAGUUAGUAACUAAAAGAAAUCGAAUAUGUAGAGUAGAAAACAUUAAACAAAAGAAGCACAAUAAGAAUAACAGAACAAAUCCCCAUGACUAUAGGAAAGUUAAAUGAGAUGCAAGUGAAAACAAGUAACAAUUUUGACAUGAUAGAUUACUCCAGAAAAUGUCGAUGCGUCCCUCUCCUCGGAAGAUACGUAUAGAAAAUUUUUAAAAAGAGAGCAAGUUAAAGAGUCAUCCUUGUGAUGCUAUCAUAGUGUAACCAAACAGAGGUUAUAACAAACUUUGCAAACAAGCCAUCUUCCUUCCGUCAAACCUUCAAAUUUGAGCUCAGGUUGCUUGUGAAGGAGAAGCCAAGCAGAAGAAAGCUUGCUGGAUAACUUAUUGGGCUCGUUGAGUAUUUAAAUAUAUCCUCUUUUCUUGUACAAACCUAAAAGUCUGACAGAAAGUUUGUGGGAAAAAGAAUAAUGACAAAAGAUGGUGCAAAUAUUAUUUACAAAAAACAAAACUUACUUUUGGUUGAUAUUACCGUAGCAUUGCAAAGUGACAAAUUGAUAAACCAUCAUGCUCUCAUUUAUGUUACACAAUAUUAAAAGACAACAUGAAAGAACUAGUUUCAGCAUGACUUCAUUGCGUUCAAAAGGCUCUCUCAGUCUCUCAAACACCAAGCAUCCGGAUGGACCGUGCAGAUUUUCUACGUCCCUUCUCCAGUUCUGCCCAGUAAGAUAAACGAUGCAACAUUCAACAACAAGCUUGAAAGAAGAAGACUAAUGAUGCAUCCAAACAUCUGUUAGAUAAUUGUUGAUCUAAUAAAUAAAAUUAAUUCUCAUAGAACUAAUUAAAAUAAUGUACUGAUAACAUCUUUCACCACAACUGCACAGGGUUCCAUCUUUCACCAGAACUGCACUGGGUUCCAUCUUUCACCAGAACUGCACUGGAUUCCAACAAACUUGGAGAACACUCAGCAGACAAUGCAUCAGCAGGAUAGGAAAUAAGAAAGAGGUUUAUCUUGACUAUAUAAAAGACGACGCCGAUACAAAACUUGACUCUCAGCACUCACCGAUCUUCUUUGUGACGCUCCAUUUAGCAAGAGCAACAAGGGAUGAAGUUUAUACAGUCCUAUCAAAGAUAUAGCACACAUUACUAGCAGGCUUAUUAUCAGUCACAACUAGCUAAAGAGAAUCUCCCAUCUUUAAUCAACUUACUCCUGAUUUGAAAUUUUCGUGUCGAAAUAACAUAAUUUUGUGCUUGGUAGUGCCUGCAAAACUCCGAAACACUAUGAAGGUCCCCUUGUCUGGUGCCACAAGGAUGGUGGUGGUAACUACAACCAGAGAAGCAUCAGCCCAUUACUUCCCCUCUAGCAGCUGGCUCCAUGACUUUACAACAUUGGAGGAGGGGACUUCAAAGUGAUUUGGGGAUAUUUGAGUCUCCAAAGCACAGAAACAGGUGCUUUUGGUAAUUUAACGAGCAAAUAAUGAGAUCGAUGUUAGAACUAAAAUUAAUAAGCCACAAAUUUGGGUAGGCGUUUAUUAGAGAAAACCCGAACGUCAAUAGUUAGAUAGAUUAGAUUACUCCACAGAGAGUACAAGAACGCCACCAAACUUACUCAACAACGAGAAUAGCAAAAGGUUAGUAGUACCUAGAUUACUCGAUAGAGAAUUUCAUCACACCACUAAGAUUGCUCAACAACGAGUUUUCAUCACACGACUAAGAUUAGUAGACGCCGCAACUAUUACAGCAUAAAUGUCUUCUAGGUACCUAAUAAUGUACCAAGCCGCUAGUAAGAGCAACACCGCUGCAGGGAUUAUUUGUGCCUUGGUGUUCUAGUAAGGGCCGCCGCAGCCGAAAGAAGUCAAAUCUUCGGACGGCCCGGCAUAUCGCAAGGCUUCCCUCUCCCUGGCAUAUCGCAAGGCUUCCUUCUCCCUUUCCUCCUCCCGCAUCUUCUCAUAGACCCAGGGGGGAAACAAUUUUGGGCGACACAUGGCAUCAAGCUCCUCAGGAGAGAGAUCGGAGAACUGGUUCAGCCCGAAAGUGUAACCUUUCUUCUUUGCGUUGUGCCUUUCACACUCCUCCACUGUCUUCUUGAAGAUCUCGAAACGCCGCUCCUCCUCCUCAGCGUCUGCAUAUCUACGCUCAAACUCCACCAUCCAUUUUUUGUGCAUACAGCGGAGCUCUGCGUCAUCCUUCAUGGUGAUCUUCUCCAUAUCUGGCAUCGCCUUGCGGGUGAUUCUUUCAUCCAGGGCUUUCCAAAAGGUCGACAUAAUAACCCCUGAAAGAAACAAACAUAAUGGCAGAGUACAUCAUGCAGUGUCUUAGGGGGCAGAAAAAAGUUUCAAAAGAAAGGGGGGGAAAGAGAUAUGAAAAAUGUACAUUAAAUGAUUGGAAGACAUCAUGCAUGCAAUACAUAUGAUUUACUCAUAAAUCCAAAUGCCAUUGCCUAGAAUUAAUCUGGAAGACAAAACGCACAGAUUCAAAUAGAAAUCAUUAUAGAGAAGGAAAAACAGGAUGGAGCUCAAUCCAUCGAGCCCAUCAUCUGCAACAAAUCAAAGUCGCAAUACAUAUCCGAUCCAUGCAGGAAGGACAGAACUGUAAAUCUGAUAAACCAUCAAGAAGAAUGACGGAAUACAUGUUAUAUAGUUCUAUCAGACAAAACCUAGGGCAGAUAAUCGAAACGACUCCAAUAUUUUGACUUAAAACCAAAGGAAAGCGACGAGAUAAAGUUGCUUCGUGCUUCGUGUAGGAAAAACAAUAACGCGAUUGCAACGCAGAAGGACAGAUGAAACAGACACUUAGAACCUUUGUUAAAAAAAUUUUAGAAGAGGACUAUUGCACUAAAAACCCCAGCGAGAGCGCUGCGCGAACGACGAGCUUCUUCUAGGCUUGGAGUCCUCAAGAUGUCGGAGGGGGAGGUUUAUUUGCCCUUGUUGCCUCUAUGGCUGCAACCGGGUCGGAUUUGGGUCGGAUCAUACUGCGCCCAAGUCCGGCCCAAGAAAUUAAAUUUUGCUUUGUGGGUCGGGCUUUCAUCCGAUUUUUUUUAAAAAAAAUUAAGAUCUGUAUAAAUAAAGAUUAAAUUCAAAAAUUUUAAAAAGAAGGGCCAUAUUAUUUUAUUUUUUUUUUUGGAAAAAAGCUGGAUAAGGCAUUACCUCAUUUUUCUUUUUUUCUGGGCUAAAUUAUACACAGCCACAUUUCACUGCAGUUUUUUUUUUUAAAAAAAAAAACUAAAUUUUCAUUACCAAAAAAUGGCAAGAAGCCAAACAAAACAGAAUACCAAAGUAUAGGCUUUCAAAGCAGAGUUCAAAAGAAAAUACAUCUUUGUCAGAAAACACAUAUGUGUCAGUGAAAAAGUAAAAAAGCUCUAUAUCCUUAUCCAACAUGUGACAGAACUCUGGAUGUCGAUUUGUAUUAGUAAAUAAAGAAGAUUGAGGCAAGUUAGCUCUGGUAACUAGCCAAUCGGCUACCAUGUUUGCGACACAUUUCACUACAGUUUAAGUACAUGAAGGAACUGUUUAAAAGUAAUUCUGCAAUAUUCAUUUUAUUUUAGAAGCUUAAUUUUAGUUAAAAGUUAUAGAGUAUUUGGCUGAGUUAAUAAACAAAUAUUCUAAAAUAAUUUUCUAAAGUCGUGUGUUUUUUUCUCUUUGCACAUAAUUUUUUUCUAAAUUUUAUUAAAAAAUAAAAUGUAAAAUAUGAAAUUUAAUUUUAACAUUAGUGGAAAACUAUUAGGUGUGCCGGCUAGAACUACCAUCUUAACAUGAUCUUCACCAAUAAUUAAUUUCGCUGUCUUUGAAAUCUGCAAAUCUCAAACUCCAAUCCUUUCAUUUCUCGUCGUUUGAUGCAUACCAUCGUGUUUUACUGACGGCGUAUUUGUUUGGGUAGAACUAGAGAAUCGUAAAGUUAUUUGCAACCAUAAAUGAUCGGUUUCUUUCAUUGAUUCGUCGUGACAACAAUGCAGCCAAAACUCUAGUUAACCAAAAUAACAUAAUUAAGUUCCGCACGCAUGAAGCCAAUUAUCAUGAAGAAAGUUGAAGAAAAUUAAUAAAAUAAUAUAAUAGAUAAUGCUAGCUAUAUUGAAAUAUUUCUAAUUAUUUUUGAGAGAAAGAUAGUACGCUACACGCUCUCACUUAGUUAAUUCGUGAAUAAUUUACGAAUUUUUGAAGAAGCAAGUAAAACAGUUGCAUCCCAUUUUUUUCGAAAAAUUCGGAAAAAAAUUGUAUUUUUUUGAUCAAAAAUAAUUAUUCGCGAAUAGUUCGCCAAAAAACCGUCGCCGCCAUGGCAAUGGCGUCCAAGCCUCUUCGCGCCGCCGCCGCCUACUCCGAUUCCGUUUGGUCCCGCCUCUUCACGUACCAUCUCUCUCUCUCUCUCUCUCUCUCUCUCUCUCUCAUGCACACACACUCUCUUUCACGCACGCACGCACGCGUGCGCCCGCACGCACAGAGAUGAAAUGGUUGAUUCAAUAAUGUGUUGUUCAAUAUGAUGUGCCGCCGCCGCCAUCUCCGCCGCUGCCGAGAGAGAGAGAAGGAAUGAGAACGGAGAGAGAGUAGGAGUGAGCUUUGUUAAAAAUGUUUUGUCUCCUCCCCUCUCGCGGAAAAAUUCUAGAAUGCAAUGAGUAUAUUGAUGACGUGGUGUAAUAAGCUAAUCAAAUAUUUUUUUAAAAAAAUAUAUGUCCCAUCAUAAUUAUAAAAAAUAUUUUUAUUAUACUUUUAUUUAAAAAAAAGAGAUAUGAUUGAUUUGUUAUUAAUAAUAUGGUGCAAGUGUGAUAGUAUAGAAUUCCUCCCUCUCGAGAGUAUAUAAGUAACGCUGCUCUGAUGAUGUGAUCACAUGAUGUAUCCUCGGACAUCAACAUCCUGAUUGUAGCCCACGUGUCCCGUAUUGUUUGAUUUUGGUACGACAGAUUUGAUGGACGGGUGAGAUUUGAUCGAGAGGGCUAAUCAGUUAACGGGGUCGUAUUCGGGAAGGUUGUUGAUUCGGGUCAAUUUUUGGUGAUUUUAAUGUAAGUUGGUGGUUUGGGUUUGGCCGAUGCAGUGCACCAGCAACUUGGGCCCCAAGCAAACAUGGGCAAGCACCUUAUGCAAUGGUCUAUUUCUUCUCCUAUAUGGAUUCUGCCUGCAACCAUUAUAGCUCCAUAUCUAGUACUAUAAAAAUUUAUAACAAUUCGCACUUUGAACUUGUGAGAAAUUUAAAUAACCCGAUAGCAAACUAUCCUUUUUGUUUAUUAUGUUAAGAUGAGAUGAAUUUAACAUUGUUGGUGAAGAUAGCAAAGGCCUGCAAGAACCCAUCCAUAAUGCCGUCUUUAUUCUCGAGAGUUUAUUGCUCGGACGUGUUGUUUGAUACAACACGUUGGUCAUGCAUCAUUCAACGAUCCCCAAGCCUUAUUAUUAGUAUUUUUAUUUUUUUUUUCGAGAGAUAGGUAGCACGCUACCCGUUUCGUUUAUUUCAUUAUAGAAAUAAACUUAGUUAGAAAUAUGAAUCAACUAGGAUUCAAAUUUGGGUUUCGGGUACCAACCACCAAGUCCUUUGCCACUUGCUCUAGGGCCGGUCGGUCAAGCCUUAUUAUUAUCGAAGUUGACACGCAGGGCAUGAAAAUGUAAAUCAAAUUUAUGUAGAUGUAGAUGUAUCAUACAGUAUUUAUAUUUUCCACAUAUUAUUGGCAAUCAGAAAUUGGGCCAAAGUGAAGGCCGAGAGAGUCCGGCUUCGGAUUCUGGGCAAGUGUCAAAAGUUUCGGCGGAAGAUCGGUUUAAAGCCCAUUAUCAAGGAAGGCAUCAAUGGCUGAAUUUGAUCGUGGGCAGUCCAAUUCCAAUACCCAUAACGACCCAAUGUACGGCCCAAUUGAGCUAGAAUCGGAUUUAACCAAACCUGGUCGGAGCCCCGCUAUUCGAUUUGUACGUGUCCGUCGACUCAAGGCGCGUGACACUGUGGCCUCACUGCUCGAACCUGGUUCACCACCUUGGAUAUAGACCACUCACUACUUUCCUACUAUGAAGUAUGAAGGAAAAUAGAAGAAAAAAGAAAAUUCUAUUACUUGAAUAACAAGGUCUACGUAUAAGGUGAUGGACGUGGUCCAGGAUAUUAUUUCCUCCCGAAAUGGAGAAGGUACAGAACAAGGUGCAAAAAUCAUUUCAUCUCCCAUCUCUUCCUCUUCCCCUUCUGCGCGGCUUUCCCCUUCAAUUGGGGGUGGAAUGCGAUCGAUCCCUAGGGCUUCGUAUAAUAUUAUUUAUAUUAUAUUAUUAAUAAUAUAUAAAUAAUAUUUAAUAUUAAUUUUUUUAUUUUUAGAUUAUAACUAUUCCAUUAAUACUUACUAAACUCUAGACAUUUAUUGAUAAAAAAGUUAAUAAUAAAUAUUAUUUUCAUAUUAUAAAUAAUAUUUAGGCCACUAUAUAUAAUAUAAUAUUUAGUUUAAUUUAUUAAAAGGAGAAUAAUAUGGUAACUGUUUUAAAGAAUUAAGUAGUUUCUUUUUCUGUGAAGCUCUUAUUUUCUCCAUAUCCAGGCUUCCUGUUUUUUGAGUACUCAUCCGAAGAUAUUGUUCACGUACGAUUGUAUUUUCGUAUCCUUCCAAUAGAAGACACUAUGUAAAGAAAUCACAAUUAAAGAUCAAAAUAUGUGUAGGCUGUGAAUUGCGUCCACGUAAGUAUAUUGCAAUAAAUAAGAACAUAUGAAUGAUCUAGAAUUUUACAUUUUAAUUAUUUUAUAAUUUAAAUUCAACUUUCUAAAACAAAAUAAAUCUCAUAUAAGUUGUUGAUCAAAAUAAUUCAACUACUUAAAUGAAGCAUAGAAAGCUUCUAAAUUGUAAAAAUCUACAUAUACUCCCUUUGUAGAGGCGUACAUCUUAUACCUCAAGGAUCUAAAGAUUGAUACAAUAUCUUUAGAUUUUAGUACAAAAUAAUAAUAAUAAUAAUAAGAUAAGUGGGUGAACAUGCAUGAACUAUAAGGAGGUUCUAGGUCUAAACUUUAGCCCUACUUGUAAGAUGUAUGGGUUGGAUUGCUCGAGUAUUAAAAGUUAUGGUGAAAAAUAUGAAAAUAAAUAGAGGCUUACUUUAAUUAGUUCUGACUUCUCGAGAUUUAUUUUAAUGCUUGUCUGGAUCUCAAGCAAUUGUAAAUAUUCUAUAAAAAAAAAAUUUUAAAAAAUCGCUCUAUUCCUAAGAACUAGACAGCCUUUAUGUUCAGUACAAGAGAUAAAAAGAGAAUAAAAAAUUUAUUCUCUUUAUUCUUCCAAACAGUACUAAAAAUUACUAUUCUCCUAUUAACGGAUUAUUUUAGAAUAAUUUUUUAAGAAAGGAGAAUAGAAGAGAAUAGUACUUUCAUCUAUUGGGUAAAGCAAACUAUUCUCUAUCUUAUUAUUCUCCUAAUUAAGUUAUAAAUAAUUAUUUAAAAUACAAUUAAUUAAUAAUUAACUAAUUAAUAAUUCAACUUAUUAAAUUAAUAAAUAUUUAAAUAAUUAUUUAUUUAUUAUUAAUAAUUAAUUAUUUAAAUAAUUAGCCAUUUGAUACUCUUAUUCAUUCAUUAACUAGUAUUCAAUAUUUUAAUUUAUCUAAUUAAUAUAUUAACUAAAAUAUAUAAAUAAAUAAAUAAUAUUAUCAUAUUGAUUUAUUUUUUAUAGUUAUUUACUAAUCAAUGUCAUUCUUCAUCAUCGAGCUCAUAUACUGUUUCUAAUUAAUUAAUUUAUUAACUUGUUAAAAUAUUAUUUUACUAAUAUUUAAAUACUUAUUAUUUAGAUAAAUUUUUUUUAUUUUUAAUUAUAAUUAUUCUUAUUUUUAUUAUUCCAAUCCAAUCAUCCAAACCUAAUUUUUCUUAUUUCUUUAAAUAUUUUCAUUUUCGUCUAAACAUAAAAUUGACCCAAUUUCCGUCCAUCUAGAAUUAUACCUAUUUUGAGAAUAUACAAGAAUAACUUAUUCUCAAAUCAAAAGAUAAUAUUCUAUUAAGUGGGUACAAAUGUAAGUUACAACUUACAAACGCCAUCUAUUUGGCUUUGCAGUAGCCUUUUAUUCUAUUUUAUCCAUUAAUUAUAUUUCCAACCUAUAUUAGUCAUAAUCCCGAGUUAGCGGUACACAGACUCAGGCUUUUAGUGAAGGAGUGAGAUUUUCUACGUAACUAGUUUUUUUUUUUUUUUUUUCUGGCUAGUAUAGUUUUCUUUUGUUCCCGGUGCCUAGUUGCCCCACACAUGUAGUUAAAUUCAUCUUUCCAAUAAAUAAAGCGGGCUACCUCUUUCUCAAAAAAAAAUAUAUAUAUUCCCAGCCUACAUAAUUUUAUUAUUAUUAUUACUAUUAUAUUCGUAUUUUGUAGCAGUAGAACGUAAGGAGAGGUGAUUUUCGAUCCGUGCAAUUCUUCUUUGUUUUUUUUUUUUUCUUUUCCCAAAUUAAUCAGCUACAGCCGUGGGCACCGAACCCAAUCCUUUGAUUGGAGAUAUCAUACACGACGGUGAACUUCCUCUGCUGCGUGUUUCCGAUGAUGCUCACUUCGUCGGCUUUCGUGUUGCCUGCAAAUGCUAAACAAGCCUGCGAUGGGCCGCCGUAAAUUAUCCCGUCGAACCCCAAAUUUAGGCUCGCCCCGCCGUCGAACACCAGCGCCACCGCCGGCACCUUUAUCUUCCCGCGCCCGCUCACGUCGUAACACGUGUCCAGUAUCGACAGUGCCGGCGCCGCUGUAUAGUUCGUCAUGUGCUGGCGGAACACGGCGCGCAUCGCAGAGUACGCGGCCUGCGGCAGUCUGGUGAUCACCGUCCCGGAGUCCAUCACCGUCCCGGCCGCCGACAACACCGUCUGGCUUAUAUCUAGUUUCAUGCCUCCGACUUUGAUCGCCACCAGUUUUACGUAGUACGAUGAUGAAUCGCUUGCGUAGCUUAUCAUUGGGGUGUAUUGUACGUUCGGCGGUAACGGGCCGCCGCUGCCAAUCGACAGGUAGCCUGUUGAGCUCGAGAGUGACGGGAGGCAGUAGGAGAAGACCGCACCGUACUUUUGCGACGCCUGUGAAAUCAGCGAGGACUUCUCGCGGCCUAAACCGAUCAGACCGGCGGUCCGACCAAUGACUCCGCUGCUGCUGUCACUGCAACCAAACAUAAAGUUUGGCAGCAAGUCGGAGGGACUCAGAGUCAGCGUGUCGCUGCCGAAGUUCCCCGUGGACGUGGAGUUGUCACUGUAUUUGACAUCGUAGCGGCACUUCCCGUAGGCAGAGCAGCUGUGCGAGUCAAGUUGCGUGCACUCAUCCGAGCUGCAGCUGAUGCUGCUGUAUGUGGAUGAUUUGGCUGGGUCGAAGAGCGGGUCCUUUUGUGGGUAACAAUGGUUGCAGGGGUUGCAUUGGAUCCAGGAGAUGUCGCUGCCGGUGUCGAAGACAACGGAGAAGUCCUGUUUAGGAGUUCCGAUGCCCACAUUCACGAUGUAGUUGCCGGUACUAAGUAAGUUGCCGGUGUGGGCAGGGAUCGACACGUCCAGCAAGCCACCUUUGCCCGCGACAUUGGAUGCGGUAGAAAGACGAUGGUGGAGCGAGUCGACUCGAGCUCGGUCAUUGUCAAUGAUUUGCUCGUGCGACAGUUUUUCCUCCAUCUGGAGCGGUGAGCACGGUCCAUACCGAUGGACGACCGUCAGCCUCGACAGAUUUGAAUCUGAGGGAACCAAGGAACAUGUUUUAAUUGUACUGUAUAGAAGGGAGCUGAUAUUAACAAAUCAGCUUUUGUAACUUAAGGAGAGAUGCUUUGAUAUUUUAUAUUGGAGAGGUGCUCAAACUCAUAAAAUCUUAUAGUUCUUAUUCAAAACAAAAAACUUUAGCAAUGAUGUCAACGAAAAACUCAAACUCAUACGUUUUGAUUUAUUCGAUUAUAUUCCAAUGGUAUUAAUUUCUUAAUAUCUAUAUAGCACUAUUCGACACAUAUAAAUAAUAAAAUUCAAACUUAUAAUUCUAAUACUUUGUAGUUUGGCUCUCUUAAUUAAUAUUGUAGAUAAUAUUAUUAAACUAGUUUUUUGCUAAACCAAACCGUUAUGAGGUUGGGAAUUGGAGCCCUUACACUGACUUAAAAUUUGGGGUGUUUGCCAUUAGCUUCAAAGUAAUGUAUAUUUUCUGAAUUGUAUAGAAUAUGGACAAACAAAAAAAAAAAAGAAAAAAAGAAAAAGAAAAAGAAAAAGAAAAAAAUUGGACGAUGCAAUUGGUGCGCGUAAGGAUGAUUGAAACUGUGUUGAGAACCUCAAAGGUAUAGUAUUUUGAAAUAGGCCCUCAACAUUUUGCCAUUUGCCCCUAGUAACUUCUAUAUUUUUCUUUUUUUGGAUCAUUCCAGUUUGGCAGGUUAAAACAAUAUUAAAUUUUAGAAAACAAAAAUUGGAAAAUAAAUUACGGUGACAUAUAUAUAGAAGGAGCGUCAUUUCUACCUUUAGACGAGGAACAAACUGCGCUAGGCUGCAACGAUCGCAUUUUGACCACAUAUUCAGCAUCUAAUUUUACACCAAAUACACAUAAACAGCAAGAAAGAGUACAUAACAAAAGAAGAACACAACAAUUAAAAAUACUAUCCGAGAAAAGAGCCAUGUUGGAAAAGGAACUUAUUUAUGAAUAACAAACUUGAGGCGUAUGUGUGGUAGCGAGGAGGCUUAAGGGGCGUAUAUAUGCUUAUAUAGGAUGGUUGAUCCUCUCAGUAUUAAUCCGUACGUUGUAGACUUUCACCUCUCUUGACAGAGAAAUUAAGUAUUUCCUGUUACAGUUCUUAUAUAUAAUAUUUACAAUUUUUAAAUAUCAAAUAUCUUCAUCCACAUGUUGCUUCCAAUGGGACUCUUCCUCAUCAACUUAGGGCUUGUUUGUUUCAUCGAAACUAGACUUUAAGUUGAGGUGAAUUUUAGAUUGAAUUGGAAUUUGGUAAAAAUUAUUUUUUUUUCGCUGUUUGUUUCAUAACUAUGAAAAUGAAGUUUUAUUAGUUGUGCUGUUUGUUUAAUAGAAAGUGUAUGAUAUAAAAUUAUAAUUUAUAUAUAAAUAAUAAAUAUUUUAAUAAAUAAAAAUAAUAUAAUUAUAUUUUUAUAUAAUUAAAAUUUUAUUUAAAACAACAAGAUUAUUUUUUUAUACAUAAAUUAUAGUAAUUAUAAAGUAAAAAAUAUUAAUACUUAAUUAAUCAAUUUUUAUUAUAUUUUAAUUAUACAAACUAAAUAAAAAAAAUAUUCAAACUUAACUAAUCAAUUUUUAUCAUAUUUUAAAUAUACCAGCCGAAUAAAAGAGUAAUUACUAAUAUAAUUAAAUAUAUUUAAAUAUAAUUAUCUCUAUCUAUUGUAUUAUUUUAUUAUUUUUUCUUCACAUCUCUCCACCGUAAUUGACUUUGGCCUAAAUCGAAGUAAAUUACGCCGUUUGAAGUUAACUCGAGUUUCGACCGUAACUUUUUUACGGCAAACCAAACAAUAGAAAUGACUGUUUAUGGCAAAAACGACAUUUCUCAUCUCCACUUCCACCCCACUUCCACUCAAAUAAAUAGGCUCUUAGCCACCAUAUAAUUUAGUUGAAAAGACAUAUUUUAUGCAUGUUGCCAGGAAGAUUUUUUUUUUUUUUUGUCUUGGACGACCCAAGUCUUCCAUCGUGGGAAGGAGGACGCCACAAUCUAAAAAAGCCAUGCCAAGAAAAGGAUUUUAUGGAUGACACGCUAGCUAGGGAGGAAUAUGACUGGAGGAGACUCAGGAGUGCGUGCUUCAUGCGAAGAGAGUGAUCCUUCGUACUUCACACGUUGUAGAUUUUUGGUCUCCCACUAGUGACCACACAAAUUGUGUCUUGGGCAAUUAAUAUUUGUGGUUUGCAACGUUUUAGUAGGACUGACAAUUAAUCAAGCUCACUAACUGCAAGCCAGUUUAUGUUUGACUCAAAAUGAUCUAGAAAUUAAUUGCCUCGUUUUAAUAAACGAGCCGAAUAUAAGUUGAAAAUUUUAAUUAGUUCGAAAUCAUAACAAGUCGAAUACGAACUAGAUGCACUCAUGUUCGGCUCAAUGUGUGUGUAUAAAUUUUAAUUAGAUAAAGAUUUUAAUUUUCUAAUUAUUUAACUUUUGAUCCAGUAGUAUGGUUAAGAAUAACAAUCUAACUUGUGUUGGCAAGAUAAAGAUUUUAAUUUUUUUUUUAAAAAAAAACACUUUUCAUGCAUUAGUAUGACUAACGAUCUAACUUGUGUUUGUGAGCCGGUUCAUAUUUGGCUCGUUAAUAAUAACGAGCCAAGUUGGACUUUUCAGCUUGAUUUUUUUUAAUGAACUAACUCGCUUACGGCUCGAUUAAUAAAUAAACGAAUACGAUCCGAUCUCAGCUCACUCAUGUUCGGCUCGUUGAUAAUUGACAGCCCUACUUUGCUCCGUUGAUGUAGUCAUAUAAAAUACGUGUAUAAAAUAAAAAAGUUUUAUAUACAACAAGAGAUACAUGGAAAAAAAUCUUUUCUAAGUGAAAAUAAUUUACUAUUCAGAAAAAAAUUGUGAUUAUAGAAAUCUUAACGCGUUUUAGAUAUAUAGAAUUGUCUCAUGAAACUUUUCAAAACUAAUAUCUAGUAAUACUUGUCGAACCAAAAAAAACGUAAAAUUCUAAGAGUGAGACUACUAUGCUAUUAGAAGCACGGAGCCUUUCGUGCUUCCAGCUCGCUUUUAAUGUUGCGACUUUCGAAUCGUCGAUCGGCUCCGUUAAACUUGAUCUAGAGUAUUUGAAGUACCUGGAAAAUAAAUUUUAUGCUUUUAUGAUAUCAUUUGCCUAGUGAACGAAGGGGCUCAAAAUCAACGGUUGAAAAUAAAAAUCUUACAAAAUAUAAUAAUAUGACAUUAAAAUUUUAAAUCAAAGAUAUUGAUCUUGUUUUAUAUAGUAUAAAGAAUUUUCUAUCAAAAUUUCACGUGAUUUCGAUAUUUCUACACCGUUAAACUUGCAAACGGCUCACUACGGCCAUUGAAAUUUGUUGAUUUUGAGCCCAUUCGAUCACUAGGCAAAUGAUAUCGAAAAAUAAUAAAAUUUAUUUUCUAGGUACUCCAAAUACUCUAGAUCAAGUUUAACGGAGCCGAUCGACGAUUCGAAAGUCGCAACAUCGAAAACGAGCUGGAAGCACGGAAGGCUCCGUGCUUCCGAUAGCAUACUAGCCUCACUCAAAUUCUAAUCCAAUUUGCAUUCAUACAAGGCAAUUGAGUUAAUUUCUUUUGACCAAAUUUGAUCUGGUUCAUUUUUUUUUUAUGUAUUCUAACGCCAGAUCGUCUGCACCAUCUUUUUCUUUGAUGAAGUUUUGGUAAAUAUCUGUAUAAUAUGGGUGAUAAUCUAGCUUGUUGUUCGCGAGCCAACUCGUGUUCGGCUCGAAAUGAGCUCAAGAUUGAAUCGCUCAAUUAGUAAACGAGUCAAACACGAACUGAAUUUUUCAACUAAUUUAAUAAACGAGCCGAACACGAGCUAGGGUCAGUUCACUCCUGUUCGGCUCAAUAACAAAUCGAAUACAUAUAUUCUAUAUUUAUAUAAUUUAUUUAAUUUAUAUUUAUAUAUAUUUAUAUAUAUAAAUAAAUAAUUAUAUAUAAAAUAUAUUUUUUAUUAUUAUUUGAUUUUUAGCAAAAAAAAAAAAAAAAGAAGCCGAGCUCAAUUAUAAAAAAAAACUCAUUUAUACGUAAAGUAUCAAAUAUUAGAUUAAAAUUUAAUGGGUAAGAUUUUAUAAAUUUAUUUUUAUAUAUAUCUAAUUUAAUUUAUUUAACUUAUUGUUUGUUAGUCAACUCGUGAGUCAAUUUAUGUUCGGCCCGUUUAUUAACGAGCUGAACACAAUCUGAAUUUUUCGGCUCGAUACUUUAAUAAGUCAGUUCGUGUUCAAGCCGAACACGAGCCGGCUUAAGCUCGCUCGUCUUUGGCUCGUUGAUCCUACUGUAUAGUAUUGAAUAGUUUGUACUCUGUAGAAACAUUUAUUCGGACAACAAAAAGAAUAUAAAUUAUUUUUAUUUGCUAGAAAUUAGAAAAUAUUGUGACUAUGCUCACUUUUUGAACUAAAAUACAGUUGUACCUUAGGAUACUUUCGACUAUAAUAGUUUCGGAAUUAUAAUUUUAUUUGACCAGUGCUGGCCGGAGUGCGUUAAACAUCGCAAGGACAAACGUAGAUCCUUCUCACUCGCUAGAAGACUUACAGUAGAUGAUUUGAAAGAUAAAGCAACUUUUCUAGAAUACAAUGUAUUAAAUAUGAUUAAUUACGUACAAAGUAAUGCAAUUUCUUUUAAAUAAAAUAAUAUCUAUUGCAUUCAUUAGAUUAACAAACUCAACGACAUUUCUAUAAUCAAGUCUCAACUUCGAAUUCUACUUGAUUUACAUUUCUAGCUAAGUUUAUUUCUAAUUGAAAUAAACAAAACAGAUAGCGUGCUAUCUAUCUCUUAAAAAGAAAAAAAAAAAAAAAACUCAACGACAAAAUCUGAACAAAAUUUGGGAAGAAAAGAAACCGAUUUUUCCUUAAAAAAGUGAAGGUGAUAUGAUGAGUCGACUUAGCCAAUCCGUGAACAGACUGCUCACAAUCUUUUUAUGCAUAAUAUUUAUUUGACGAUAAAAAAUAAAAUCUUAAAAACCUAAAGUAUAAUUAUUUUUAUUUUUAAAUUUUUUAUAAAUAAGUUAUUAUCUAUUAUUUAGUUGGAUGUAUUAAUAAUAAUAAAAAAAAAUCUUCUUUUAGCUCGUUAACUUAGAUAGAAUUAAUAUUUAAAAAAAAACAAAAUAUGACAGUGAUGCUAAACGAGACCUAAAUUAGUUAGUUAUUGUGCAAAAAUAAAAUGAAUUUUUUUAAUUAUCACGUACUAGACAACAAAGAAAAUUCUUUAUUUGACUCAGAAAAUAUUAUUACAUUAUGAUUCUUACAAUCAGGUCUUGAUGGCAAACAUCAUUAGAAAGUUUAGAUCGCAUGUUUCGGACACUUUCUUAAUUUGUUGGACGGUGAGAGAUUUCGGCGAAGGAAUAGGCUCGUUUAAUCGCAGAGAUUUGAGUGGCAGCAUCUAGCAUCGUCAUCCGGUCUUUCGGCGAUUCCACUGAGCACAGUAGGCCAAUUUCGACCAAGAGAACAAUGCAUCUCUGCAUUCUCAAAUUGGCAGAAGCUCCGUCUUCUUCCGAUUCGUCAUUGCUGUGGAGACCUUCUUCCUCUUCCGAAAUCACAGGAUCCAGAACUUCGGCCAGCUUCUCCGGAAAAGCCGUUUCGACGUAUUUGCGAAGGCUUAAUCCAUCUUGGAACAAGCCGCUGGUCGGUUUCUUUCCGGUCAGAAGCUCCAGCAGAAGUAUUCCGUAGCUGUAAACGUCUCCUUGCGUGGAGAUUCGGCUCCCCGUCCCGUAUUCUGCAUUCAUUGAC